rnacentral:rRNA from 1 species
AUUGAACGCUGGCGGCAUGCCUUACACAUGCAAGUCGAACGGCAGCGGGGGAGAAGCUUGCUUUUCCUGCCGGCGAGUGGCGAACGGGUGAGUAAUACAUCGGAACGUGCCCUGUAGUGGGGGAUAACUAGUCGAAAGAUUAGCUAAUACCGCAUACGACCUGAGGGUGAAAGUGGGGGACCGCAAGGCCUCAUGCUAUAGGAGCGGCCGAUGUCUGAUUAGCUAGUUGGUGGGGUAAAGGCCUACCAAGGCGACGAUCAGUAGCUGGUCUGGGAGGACGACCCGCCACACUGGAACUGAGACACGGUCCAGACUCCUACGGGAGGCAGCAGUGGGGAAUUUUGGACAAUGGGCGAAAGCCUGAUCCAGCCAUUCCGCGUGAGUGAAGAAGGCCUUCGGGUUGUAAAGCUCUUUCGGCAGGGAAGAAACGGUUUUGGAUAAUACCCAGAACUAAUGACGGUACCUGAAGAAGAAGCACCGGCUAACUACGUGCCAGCCGCCGCCGUAA